AUGAACGCUAGCGACAGGCCUAACACAUGCAAGUCGAGGGGCAUCAUGGUGUAGCAAUACACUGAUGGCGACCGGCGCACGGGUGAGUAACGCGUAUGUAACCUACCCAUGAGUGGGGGAUAGCCCAGCGAAAGCUGGAUUAAUACCGCAUGAUACUGAUUGACGACAUCUGAUAUCAGUUAAAGAUUUAUUGCUCAUGGAUGGACAUGCGUCCGAUUAGCUAGUUGGCGGGGCAACGGCCCACCAAGGCGACGAUCGGUAGGGGUUCUGAGAGGAAGGUCCCCCACAUUGGUACUGAGACACGGACCAAACUCCUACGGGAGGCAGCAGUGAGGAAUAUUGGUCAAUGGGCGGAAGCCUGAACCAGCCAAGUCGCGUGAAGGAUGAAGGUAUUAUGUAUUGUAAACUUCUUUAGCAGUGGAGUAAUAAGGGGCUCGUGAGUCCUGAUGCAAGUACACUGAGAAUAAGGAUCGGCUAACUCCGUGCCAGCCGCCGC
rnacentral:rRNA from 1 species